UGGUGCUACAGCUACUCGUAGUGAGGCUGCUGGAAUUUGACUAUACAUAAAUAUUGACUCAAUGAGUCUUUGUAGUGGAUGUUGGCGAUAAUUGGUCCACUAUAGGGGUAGGGUGCGCACCUAAAUAGAACUUAUCAAUCCUAGCAGAAGGGAGUAGUCCUGUGAAAUUUAAGAAGCUAAGUUCUUAAGUCUAUGGCCAUAGCAGUGUGAUUGAUA
rnacentral:lncRNA from 1 species